UGGGAAUUUGGACAAUGGGCGAAAGCCUGAUCCAGCAAUGCCGCGUGUGUGAAGAAGGCCUUCGGGUUGUAAAGCACUUUUGUCCGGAAAGAAAUCCUUGGCUCUAAUACAGUCGGGGGAUGACGGUACCGGAAGAAUAAGCACCGGCUAACUACGUGCCAGCAGCCGCGGUAAUACGUAGGGUGCAAGCGUUAAUCGGAAUUACUGGGCGUAAAGCGUGCGCAGGCGGUUUGCUAAGACCGAUGUGAAAUCCCCGGGCUCAACCUGGGAACUGCAUUGGUGACUGGCAGGCUAGAGUAUGGCAGAGGGGGGUAGAAUUCCACGUGUAGCAGUGAAAUGCGUAGAGAUGUGGAGGAAUACCGAUGGCGAAGGCAGCCCCCUGGGCCAAUACUGACGCUCAUGCACGAAAGCGUGGGGAGCAAACAGGAUUAGAUACCCUGGUAGUCCCACGCCCCUAAACGAUGUCAACUAGUUGUUGGGGAUUCAUUUCCUUAGUAACGUAGCUAACGCGUGAAGUUGACCGCCUGGGGAGUACGGUCGCAAGAUU
rnacentral:rRNA from 1 species